AGAGUUUGAUCCUGGCUCAGGAUGAACGCUGGCGGCGUGCCUAACACAUGCAAGUCGAGCGGGAAAUCCGUGACGGAUCCUUCGGGUGACGGAUCGGAUGGAGAGCGGCGGACGGGUGAGUAACGCGUAGGUAACCUGCCCUGUACAGAGGGAUAGCCACUGGAAACGGUGAUUAAUACCUCAUAAUGCCGGAUCUGCACAUGCAGGACCGGUCAAAGUUUUUUCGGUACAGGAUGGACCUGCGUCUGAUUAGCUAGUUGGUGGGGUAACGGCUCACCAAGGCGACGAUCAGUAGCCGACCUGAGAGGGUGAUCGGCCACAUUGGAACUGAGACACGGUCCAAACUCCUACGGGAGGCAGCAGUGGGGAAUAUUGCACAAUGGGGGAAACCCUGAUGCAGCAACGCCGCGUGAACGAAGAAGGCUCUUGGGUCGUAAAGUUCUGUUCUGAGGGAAGAAGAAAGUGACGGUACCUCAGGAGAAAGCCCCGGCUAACUACGUGCCAGCAGCCGCGGUAAUACGUAGGGGGCAAGCGUUGUCCGGAAUUAUUGGGCGUAAAGAGUACGUAGGCGGUCUGGUAAGCGCAAGGUGAAAGGCAUAGGCUCAACCAAUGUCAGCCUUGCGAACUGUCAGACUUGAGUGCAGGAGGGGAAAGUGGAAUUCCUAGUGUAGCGGUGAAAUGCGUAGAUAUUAGGAGGAACACCAGUGGCGAAGGCGACUUUCUGGACUGUAACUGACGCUGAGGUACGAAAGCGUGGGGAGCAAACAGGAUUAGAUACCCUGGUAGUCCACGCCGUAAACGAUGAGCACUAGGUGUCGGGGCCGCAGGGCUUCGGUGCCGCAGUUAACGCAUUAAGUGCUCCGCCUGGGGAGUACGCACGCAAGUGUGAAACUCAAAGGAA
rnacentral:rRNA from 1 species